GAAAUGCGAUACGUAGUGUGAAUUGCAGAAUUCCGUGAAUCAUCGAAUCUUUGAACGCAUAUUGCGCUGGCGGCUUCGGCCAACAGCAUGUCUGCCUCAGCGUCGGGUUAAUAUCGCCCCCCCCACUCCCUGUGAGUGAGACGGAGCGGAUCUGGCCGUUCCACGAGCUGCUGUGUGCGCAACCUUGCGCACCCAAGGAGUUGUGGAUCAGCUGAAGAUGAGAGGCUAGCUCAAGGACCCGUUAAGGGCCGCAACUGGGUAGGCUUGCUUCGGCUCGCUUCUAGUUGUUGGCUUGGGACCAUGUGCUCGGCCCUAAAACAGGAACACUAACCCUAUUUCCUCGACCUGAGCUCAGGCAAGAACACCCGCUGAACUUAAGC
rnacentral:misc_RNA from 1 species